CUUCAUCUGGCUGGGCGCAGUGACACACAGCAAUUUGGGAGGCUAAGACAAAGAGGAGGGCCAAGCCCCUCUCUGCCAGGCCUCCACAAGUUGGAGGCCAGCUCAGCAAUUUAGCAAGGCCCUAAACAACUUAUUAAAAUGCUGUCUCAACACUCCAAGUCUCUCCAGGGUGAGGUGCCAACCUGCCUGAUACCUUGGAGCUCACUCAUGGGAACUCUGUGGCACUGGAUGGGAGAUGGAGCUGCAGUCCUAAAACCAAGACAGCAGUGGGCAUUUGCAUGGAGCACUAGAGACAUGAAAACUGCCUCUGUCACCCAUGUCUGCUGCUGGGCAGGAUGGAUGCACACGCUGAGUCCAGGGAAAGGAGAUUCUGGAAAUUUCUACUGAUCCAUAUAGGACUCCUCACCAAACAACACAGGCAUCAGACCACAACCUUUACUGUGACUGCAUUUCUGCUCAGAAUGACCAAAGAUACCUUCCCAGACCCCAGUUCUACAACCAAUAGUGGAGUAAGAGGAAAAAAAAAAAAGCAACAAAUAAAUAACCUGAAGUAGUAGAUGGUGGCAGGGUUGGGGGAGGAGGGCAUUGCAAGUUGAAAAUGAGGUGGUGAAUCCCGCUUUCAGGCAGAGGCACAGCUUCUGCUAGACAGGGGGACAGCUUUGAAAUGGUGACACUGACUCUGUGCUAGAAUCAGAGAAGGAGAAGAUGCAUCCUCCAGCCUGGCAGAGAGGGGCUUGGCAGGCUGCGACUGGGCAGAGGCAAAGUCUCUCC
rnacentral:lncRNA from 1 species